rnacentral:rRNA from 1 species
UAAACUACGAUUAGAUACCCUAUUAUUUUAAAUGUUAAGUGUUAAUACUUGAGUAGUAGUAGUUAUGAGCUUGAAACUCAAAGAAUUUGGCGGUGUUUUAGUCCUUUCAGAGGAACCUGUCCCGUAAUCGAUAGUCCACGUUAAACCUUACUUAAUUUUGUAUUCAGCUUGUAUACCUCCGUCCUUAGAAUAUCCUAAUAGGGUUUAUGAAUGUUCUUAAUUUUUAAUGAAGAAUUGAUGUCAGGUCAAGGUGCAGUUUAUGAUUAAGUGGAGAUGGGUUACAAUAAAUUUAUUUAUACGGAAAUUGAUUUGAAAUUUAAUUAAUUUAAGGUGGAUUUGAAGGUAAUUUUUUCAAUAAUAAUAAAUUGAUUUUGGCUCUAAAACAUGCACACAUCGCCCGUCGCUCUUA